rnacentral:rRNA from 1 species
CAGCAGCCGCGGUAAUACGUAGGGUGCAAGCGUUAAUCGGAAUUACUGGGCGUAAAGCGUGCGCAGGCGGUUAUAUAAGACAGAUGUGAAAUCCCCGGACUCAACCUGGGAACUGCAUUUGUGACUGUAUAGCUAGAGUACGGCAGAGGGGGAUGGAAUUCCGCGUGUAGCAGUGAAAUGCGUAGAUAUGCGGAGGAACACCGAUGGCGAAGGCAAUCCCCUGGGCCUGUACUGACGCUCAUGCACGAAAGCGUGGGGAGCAAACAGGAUUAGAUACCCGCGUAGUCCCUGUCUCUUAUAC